ensembl:lncRNA
GUGAGACAGAGUGAGCCUCGGGCCAGCAGUGGAAGAGCGUCUGUGUAAACCAUAACCACAUCGCUGGUUUUUAGACUCCGCCGUCUGCCUUGCCCAACAUACUAACAUUCAUCCCUCUGGGAAUAACCAGCAGUGUCACGGUGACUGUGUGGACAGCGUCUGGUAACGUGUUGAGCCAAGGUCCGUGCUAGAUGAUCCCAGCACGGAGGGUUAGAACCACGGGACGGCCCGCGGACUCUCCUCGUUCUAAAUAUAAAGGAGGCGGGCGUGGAGGACUCAUCUGAACUGACACGCUUCCCUGUUGCACUCCCUCUGCCCUCCACACAGGUGGCCCACCGGACCGCCAGUGAUCUCCAUGGUCACGAGGUCCCGCCCUCCACCUGUUUUCAGCCAAUCCUGGAGGGCCACUCCCCCACCCCGAGCUGAUGUCUCAGCGGGCCGGACGGAUUUUGUUUUCUGGGCUCUGGAAGAGACAAGCGAAGCCUGAACCUCGAUAAAUGGAGGAGAGCGAGAGGUGUAGGAGCAGGUCUCCCGCCAGGAGGGCCAGCCGGGUGCAGCAGGUGGUGGGGACCAUUAUCCGACGCACCCGCGAGUCACUGAGCAGGUAGAGUACGGCGGUGGAGGUGGUGCACGCGCACACACACACACACACACACACACAUACGUACGUAAUUACAUACAUACCUACAUACCUACUUACAUGCAUACAUAAAUGCCCACACUGACACACACACACACACACACCAACAAUCACACACACACACACACACACACACACACACA